rnacentral:rRNA from 1 species
AACGCUGGCGGCGUGCCUAACACAUGCAAGUCGAACGGAGAAUUACGCUGAUGAAGCUUCGGCAGAUUCUUGUAAAUUCUUAGUGGCGGACGGGUGGAGUAACGCGUGGGCAACCUGCCUCAUACUGGGGGAGUAACAGCUGGAAACGACUGUUAAUACCGCAUAAGCGCACGGUAUCGCAUGAUACAGUGUGAAAAACUCCGGUGGUAUGAGAUGGGCCCGCGUCAGAUUAGCCAGUUGGCAGGGUAACGGCCUACCAAAGCGACGAUCUGUAGCCGGCCUGAGAGGGCGGACGGCCACAUUGGGACUGAGACACGGCCCAAACUCCUACGGGAGGCAGCAGUGGGGGAUAUUGCACAAUGGAGGAAACUCUGAUGCAGCGACGCCGCGUGAAGUGAAGAAGUAUUUCGGUAUGUAAAGCUCUAUCAGCAGGGAAGAAAGACUCGUAAGAGAGAUGACGGUACCUGACUAAGAAGCCCCGGCUAACUACGUGCCAGCCGCAGC